GUGUUGCAUGAAAGGGGAAAAGGUUAGCACUCCCCUCGACAAGGAGGGAAGAGGCCCUUGGGCCUGAGAAUAUGCAUAGGUUCAAGCAUUGCCACCUAUUUUGUGGCAUCUAACUAUCGUCUUUU
ensembl:snRNA